rnacentral:rRNA from 1 species
GACAGAGGAUGCAAGCGUUAUCCGGAAUGAUUGGGCGUAAAGCGUCUGUAGGUGGCUUUUUAAGUCCGCCGUCAAAUCCCAGGGCUCAACCCUGGACAGGCGGUGGAAACUACCAAGCUGGAGUACGGUAGGGGCAGAGGGAAUUUCCGAUGGAGCGGUGAAAUGCGUAGAGAUCGGAAAGAACACCAACGGCGAAAAGCACUCUGCUGGGGCCCGACACUGACACUGAGAGACGAAAAGCUAGGGGG